rnacentral:rRNA from 1 species
UACGUAGGUGGCAAGCGUUGUCCGGAUUUACUGGGCGUAAAGGAUGCGUAGGCGGACAUUUAAGUCAGAUGUGAAAUACCCGAGCUUAACUUGGGUGCUGCAUUUGAAACUGGGUGUCUAGAGUGCAGGAGAGGUAAGUGGAAUUCCUAGUGUAGCGGUGAAAUGCGUAGAGAUUAGGAAGAACACCAGUGGCGAAGGCGCUUUGCUGGACCAUAACUGACACUCAGGGACGAAAGCUAGGGGAGCGAAUGGG